rnacentral:rRNA from 1 species
UACGAAGGGGACUAGCGUUGUUCGGAAUUACUGGGCGUAAAGGGCGCGUAGGCGGCUUGGUAAGUCGGGGGUGAAAGUCAGCGGCUCAACCGCUGGACUGCCUUCGAGACUGCCUGGCUUAAGCAUGGUAGAGGCUGGCGGAAUUCCCGGUGUAGCGGUGGAAUGCGUAGAGAUCGGGAAGAACAUCGGUGGCGAAGGCGGCCAGCUGGGCCAUUGCUGACGCUGAUGCGCGACAGCGUGGGGAGCAAACAGG